rnacentral:rRNA from 1 species
CCUACGGGAGGCUGCAGUGGGGAAUUUUGGACAAUGGGCGAAAGCCUGAUCCAGCUAUGCCGCGUGAGUGAAGAAGGCCUUCGGGUUGUAAAGCUCUUUCGGUUGGGAAGAAGUUUAUCUGUUUAAGAGAUGGAUAGAUUGCCGGUACCGACAGACGAAGCACCGGCUAACUACGUACCAGCAGCCGCGGUAAUACGUAGGCUGCGCGCAUUAAACGGAAUUAUUGGGCGUAAAGGGUGCGUAGGUGGGUAAGUAAGUCAGAUGUGAAAUUCCCGGGCUUAACCUGGGAGCUGCGGUUGAAACUAUUAGGCUAGAGUACAGGAGGGGGAGGUGGAACUCCAAGUGGAGCAGGGGAAUGCGGAGAUAUAAGG